rnacentral:rRNA from 1 species
UACGUAGGGUGCGAGCGUUGUCCGGAAUUAUUGGGCGUAAAGAGCUCGUAGGCGGUCUGUCGCGUCUGCUGUGAAAACCCGAGGCUCAACCUCGGGCCUGCAGUGGGUACGGGCAGACUAGAGUGCGGGUAGGGGAGAAUGGAACUCCUGGUGUAGCGGUGGAAUGCGCAGAUAUCAGGAAGAACACCGAUGGCGAAGGCAGUUCUCUGGGCCGUAAACUGACG